AACAUCGCGCACCUGCGGGAACCUGCGGAGGGAUCAUUACAGAGUUGCAAAACUCCCUAAACCAUUGUGAACGUUACCUAACCGUUGCUUCGGCGGGCGGCCCGGGUCCUUCCCGGCGCCCCUCGGCCCUCGCGGGCGCCCGCCGGAGGUAAACCAAACUAUUGCAUUGUAUGGCCUCUCUGAGUCUUCUGUACUGAAUAAGUCAAAACUUUUAGCAACGGAUCUCAGAUCGGAAGAGCA
rnacentral:misc_RNA from 1 species